UGUCAAAUGGGUUAUAAAAAACCUUGCAUCUGUGGGUUGUAGAGAUGCCUUGUGUGAAACAAAGAAAAUAAAGAUGUGGUGACCUGAUAUGUGAGUGUUGAACUGCAUCUUGGACAUAAUCAAGAUUGAAGAAGAAUCUAAAGGACCAUCACAGAAUAAUCACAACUGUACACAAUACAGAGAUCAACAAAUUGUGGAACGUCCAGUUCCAGUGGGUACAUCUACAUCACAGGUCCUGCAUGUAAGACUCAGGGAUCAUCACAGGAAAGGGAACAGAAAGAUUGGAAGGGCCAGAACACCAGAAAGACUGCUAUGAGGCUGGGUCUCCCCAAAAUGGAUAUUCUGAACAAUGGCAAUAUCAACAGACAUAAAUGUGGAAGAGAGAAGAUCUUUUGCAGCCAUACCCAUGGACAAGGAGCUGCAGGCUACUGAUAUCUACAAAAGUCUCCCCAGAACUGACUAUUUCCUCUGCUGCAUACUCUAAACUGGAUCAGUGUAAGGGCUUGAAAGUUAAGAAAUCAACUGAAGAUAUCCAAGAAGAGUGUCAAUAGCCUGUAAUGUUUAGUAGUCUAUUGUCCAUAGAAGGUAAGACCCUAUUGCAGAAGGUACCAUAUACUUGAGCCAUAGAACAUGGAGAAGUCAAUAUGGCAACUUUAAACCUACUGAAUAGAUUUCACAGAGCUGGAAGCAAUCAUCAAUAGUACCCAAAUAUGAACUCUGAGAGCUGAAACAACAAUGAACUUGGUGCAAUUGUGUCAUGAACAUCAUGGGAUUAACCAACCACUUGAUUGAAUUGAAGGCCCACAUCACAAGAUGGAACCCAUGAAAGGACCAUUUUUAUGGACUAGAAUAUGUGGCUAGAGAGUUAUAUAGACUCUAGGGAAGAACUUAAUAUUA